CUGAUCAUCACCAAGAGUGGACCUGCCCAGACAGAAAAACCCAUUCUGAGUCUGGAGACACCUCACUCUUGAUACCCCCUCCUCUCUCUGCCCUCUACCUGCCACCUGAGAACCUGGAAGCAACCUGGAUGCCCCUCAACUGAAGAAUGGAUAGAAAAAUAUGGUUCAUUUAUACAAUGGAGUACUACUCAGCAGAAAAAAGCAAUGGAAUCUUGAAAUGUGCAGGCAAAUGGAUAGAAGUAGGAGAAACCAUCCUGAGUGAAGUAACUCGGUCAAAAAAAGACAAACAUGAACCCUUAUCCAGUGGCUGAUAGAAGCAGAGGCAGAAACCCACAGAUAUACACUGAACUGAACUCUGGAACUUAUUUGCAGAGAGGGAGGAAUGAAGAUCAAAAGGGUCCAUACCAGGCUGGUGAAUCCCACAGAAAGAGCUGGCCUGAACAAGUGGAAGCACAUGGACCCUAGACCACUCUCUGGGAGGCCAGUACAGGACUGAUCCACACCCCUGAGCAUGGAUGUCAAUGAGGAGGCCUCUGCACUCUAGGGAGUCCCUGAUCAGUAUUUUCCCUGGUGUAAGAAGGGACUUUGAGA
rnacentral:lncRNA from 1 species